UGGGGAAUAUUGCACAAUGGGCGCAAGCCUGAUGCAGCCAUGCCGCGUGUAUGAAGAAGGCCUUCGGGUUGUAAAGUACUUUCAGCGAGGAGGAAGGCGUUGUGGUUAAUAACCGCAACGAUUGACGUUAUUCGCAGAAGAAGCACCGGCUAACUCCGUGCCAGCAGCCGCGGUAAUACGGAGGGUGCAAGCGUUAAUCGGAAUUACUGGGCGUAAAGCGCACGCAGGCGGUCUGUCAAGUCGGAUGUGAAAUCCCCGGGCUCAACCUGGGAACUGCAUCCGAAACUGGCAGGCUAGAGUCUUGUAGAGGGGGGUAGAAUUCCAGGUGUAGCGGUGAAAUGCGUAGAGAUCUGGAGGAAUACCGGUGGCGAAGGCGGCCCCCUGGACAAAGACUGACGCUCAGGUGCGAAAGCGUGGGGAGCAAACA
rnacentral:rRNA from 1 species